rfam:Helianthus annuus linkage group 11, whole genome shotgun sequence.
GAUUGGUGUGAUGAUGUAUUUACCCAAUUUUUUCUGCACUGUUUGAAUGAUGAUCUAUAAUACAUGCACUACCAUCUGAUCUUUC